CGGAUAGCUUUCCUUCUAUUUCAUCGCUAGUUAACCGGGUGAGGUUAAAUCGACCGGUUCGAGUUAACCGAGAUUCGUAUCUUCUUCACCAACCAACAACGGAACUCCCUCUCUCCCUCUGUCUCAGCAGUCCACAAAGCUUUGGACUUCGUCGCAUCACAGAGCGCAAAAAAUAGAGGAGAUAUGAACUCCUCGUGUUCUUCUUCUUCUUCACCGCGUCUCUUCGUCACCAAAUGGCCAGUCUACAGAGCUCCUCUCUCAUCCUUCUCGGCGCCGAAACGGCGACGUUCCCGCCCUCGCCCUCGCCGGCGAAGAGCCUCCGACCAUGGCGGCGACGGCAGCCUUCUCAGCCUCUCUACCUCCUCCUCCGAGGAUCAGAGUCUCAGCCUGGUCCUCGACGUUCACCGGAUUUCAACCCUAGCUUCUUCACGCUUCCAUUGGCUCCUCGACUCCGGCAGAGACGCCUUCUCCGACCUCCAGAGUCUCGUCUCCCUCGACGAUAACCGGCGACUCGUCGUCUCCUGCAGGAAAUCGACGAUGCAGUUCAUUGGCGGUUUGGUUGUGACUGGAUUCGUCUUUGUUUUUGCUGUUAGGGCUCUUGUGAAUUUAGGAUCGCUUUUUAGGAGUUCGUUCGAGAGUAAACCCAAGUUGGUGGUUCGGAGAGACCGGAGUCUCGGUGGCAGAGAAGUGGUCGUUGCGGUUGAAACCAGUCGUGCCCCUUCGAGAGAUACGAGGAGCUCCAUGCCUUCUUCUGGUCAUGUCUCUCGAAGGAACACGAGCCCCUCGAGUUUCUCACUCAGAGCUCAGCAGAAAUUGCCGAAAUGGUGGCCGACUUCAUUGACAAGCCAGAGCUGGGAUGUUGAUAAGGAGGACUAUCAAAGAGAAGCCAACAGAUUGGUUCGAGCAAUGGUUGAUGAUAGAAUCAGCGGGAAGGACAUUAUGGAGGAUGAUAUAAUCCGGCUGCGGAGAUUAUGCCGGAUUGCCGGAAUACAAGUCUCUAUCGAGCCAGCAAACACCCGGGAUUCCUUCUACCGUACAUCUGUUGAUUUUGUUUUAAAUGUCUGCAGCAGGGCUUCUUCGGAGUCUACUGCUGUCGAGAUUGAUAGUGAGGAUGCCCGGGAUUUUAUUGCCGGCCUUUCCGAGAACGUUGAACUUGAAAAAACCGAUGCUGCUCGGAUGGUUUCUGCUACCGUUGCUGCACGCACUCGUUCCUGGUUUCUACAGGCUUGGGCUUUGGAAAUACAAGGCAAACAUUCUGAAUCAGUGGCGGAGCUUUCAAAAAUAUGCGUUGUUCAUCGUAUAUUCCCUCCCGAUGAGUCCUCUGCUGAGAUGGAAAUGGUUGCACGAGGCUUGGAGAAGCUGAUGAAGCUGGAAGAGAGGCAGACUCUGCUGAAAAAAUUCAUCGGGAUCUGCUGCAGUGAGGAUAGUCAUAGAAGUGCUGCAGAGGCUCUUGGUUUGGUGCACUGAAAAACCUUCAGAAGAGGAACAAAAGAUGCUGUCUCAGCAUGCCUCUUGCUAUCAGAGGAUUAAGUUUCAGGUGGGGCAGGAGCUGCUGCCGUGGAUGGAGGCCUCAACAGUGGCUGCAGGGCUUUUACUACAAUGCUCAUGUUUGGCCUGAACUCUGCUUCAUAUUGCACGCACAAUGCUGCCACUGCCGCAAGCUGUCAUCAAUAACAGAAAAAAAGGCAAAUCAUAAAAGAAUCUUCAUUAGCUUUUCUAGUUUGGAAUCUUUGCCAGUUUUCCCCAGAAAAUAGGAAUGGAUUGGCUGAGACUGAGAUGAAUAAGUGUUUAUACACAUUUUACCUUCGCAACUGCCUUAGGAGGGUAUUCUCCUUUGAGAUUUGGAUCAACACA